UCAAGUGAAUAAGUGCAUCAGGCGGAUGCCUUGGCGAUGAUAGGCGACGAAGGACGUGUAAGCCUGCGAAAAGCGCGGGGGAGCUGGCAAUAAAGCUAUGAUUCCGCGAUGUCCGAAUGGGGAAACCCACUGCAUUCUGUGCAGUAUCCUAAGUUGAAUACAUAGGCUUAGAGAAGCGAACCCGGAGAACUGAACCAUCUAAGUACCCGGAGGAAAAGAAAUCAACCGAGAUUCCGCAAGUAGUGGCGAGCGAACGCGGAGGAGUCUGUACGUAAUAACUGUCGAGAUAGAAGAACAAGCUGGGAAGCUUGACCAUAGCGGGUGACAGUCCCGUAUUCGAAAUCUCAACAGCGGUACUAAGCGUACGAAAAGUAGGGCGGGACACGUGAAAUCCUGUCUGAAUAUGGGGGGACCAUCCUCCAAGGCUAAAUACUCAUCAUCGACCGAUAGUGAACCAGUACCGUGAGGGAAAGGCGAAAAGAACCCCGGGAGGGGAGUGAAACAGAACCUGAAACCUGAUGCAUACAAACAGUGGGAGCGCCCUAGUGGUGUGACUGCGUACCUUUUGUAUAAUGGGUCAACGACUUACAUUCAGUAGCGAGCUUAACCGGAUAGGGGAGGCGUAGGGAAACCGAGUCUUAAUAGGGCGAUGAGUUGCUGGGUGUAGACCCGAAACCGAGUGAUCUAUCCAUGGUCAGGUUGAAGGUGCCGUAACAGGUACUGGAGGACCGAACCCACGCAUGUUGCAAAAUGCGGGGAUGAGCUGUGGGUAGGGGUGAAAGGCUAAACAAACUCGGAGAUAGCUGGUUCUCCCCGAAAACUAUUUAGGUAGUGCCUCGAGCAAGACACUGAUGGGGGUAAAGCACUGUUAUGGCUAGGGGGUUAUUGCAACUUACCAACCCAUGGCAAACUCAGAAUACCAUCAAGUGGUUCCUCGGGAGACAGACAGCGGGUGCUAACGUCCGUUGUCAAGAGGGAAACAACCCAGACCGCCGGCUAAGGUCCCAAAUGAUAGAUUAAGUGGUAAACGAAGUGGGAAGGCACAGACAGCCAGGAUGUUGGCUUAGAAGCAGCCAUCAUUUAAAGAAAGCGUAAUAGCUCACUGGUCGAGUCGUCCUGCGCGGAAGAUGUAACGGGGCUCAAAUCUAUAACCGAAGCUGCGGAUGCCGGUUUACCGGCAUGGUAGGGGAGCGUUCUGUAGGCUGAUGAAGGUGCAUUGUAAAGUGUGCUGGAGGUAUCAGAAGUGCGAAUGUUGACAUGAGUAGCGAUAAAGCGGGUGAAAAGCCCGCUCGCCGAAAGCCCAAGGUUUCCUACGCAACGUUCAUCGGCGUAGGGUAAGUCGGCCCCUAAGGCGAGGCAGAAAUGCGUAGUCGAUGGGAAACAGGUUAAUAUUCCUGUACUUGAUUCAAAUGCGAUGUGGGGACGGAGAAGGUUAGGUUGGCAAGCUGUUGGAAUAGCUUGUUUAAGCCGGUAGGUGGAAGACUUAGGCAAAUCCGGGUUUUCUUAACACCGAGAAGUGAUGACGAGUGUCUACGGACACGAAGCAACCGAUACCACGCUUCCAGGAAAAGCCACUAAGCUUCAGUUUGAAUCGAACCGUACCGCAAACCGACACAGGUGGGCAGGAUGAGAAUUCUAAGGCGCUUGAGAGAACUCGGGAGAAGGAACUCGGCAAAUUGAUACCGUAACUUCGGGAGAAGGUAUGCCCUCUAAGGUUAAGGACUUGCUCCGUAAGCCCCGGAGGGUCGCAGAGAAUAGGUGGCUGCGACUGUUUAUUAAAAACACAGCACUCUGCCAACACGAAAGUGGACGUAUAGGGUGUGACGCCUGCCCGGUGCCGGAAGGUUAAUUGAAGAUGUGCAAGCAUCGGAUCGAAGCCCCGGUAAACGGCGGCCGUAACUAUAACGGUCCUAAGGUAGCGAAAUUCCUUGUCGGGUAAGUUCCGACCCGCACGAAUGGCGUAACGAUGGCCACACUGUCUCCUCCCGAGACUCAGCGAAGUUGAAGUGGUUGUGAAGAUGCAAUCUACCCGCUGCUAGACGGAAAGACCCCGUGAACCUUUACUGUAGCUUUGCAUUGGACUUUGAAGUCACUUGUGUAGGAUAGGUGGGAGGCUUGGAAGCAGAGACGCCAGUCUCUGUGGAGUCGUCCUUGAAAUACCACCCUGGUGUCUUUGAGGUUCUAACCCAGACCCGUCAUCCGGGUCGGGGACCGUGCAUGGUAGGCAGUUUGACUGGGGCGGUCUCCUCCCAAAGCGUAACGGAGGAGUUCGAAGGUUACCUAGGUCCGGUCGGAAAUCGGACUGAUAGUGCAAUGGCAAAAGGUAGCUUAACUGCGAGACCGACAAGUCGGGCAGGUGCGAAAGCAGGACAUAGUGAUCCGGUGGUUCUGUAUGGAAGGGCCAUCGCUCAACGGAUAAAAGGUACUCCGGGGAUAACAGGCUGAUUCCGCCCAAGAGUUCAUAUCGACGGCGGAGUUUGGCACCUCGAUGUCGGCUCAUCACAUCCUGGGGCUGUAGUCGGUCCCAAGGGUAUGGCUGUUCGCCAUUUAAAGUGGUACGUGAGCUGGGUUUAAAACGUCGUGAGACAGUUUGGUCCCUAUCUGCAGUGGGCGUUGGAAGUUUGACGGGGGCUGCUCCUAGUACGAGAGGACCGGAGUGGACGAACCUCUGGUGUACCGGUUGUAACGCCAGUUGCAUAGCCGGGUAGCUAAGUUCGGAAGAGAUAAGCGCUGAAAGCAUCUAAGCGCGAAACUCGCCUGAAGAUGAGACUUCCCUUGCGGUUUAACCGCACUAAAGGGUCGUUCGAGACCAGGACGUUGAUAGGUGGGGUGUGGAAGCGCGGUAACGCGUGAAGCUAACCCAUACUAAUUGCCCGUGAGGCUUGACUC
rnacentral:rRNA from 1 species